CCCAGUCCCUGGAGGUGGCUCCAGGACACAGCUUAGAGACGACACCCGCAGGGUGGGCAUGACUAGCCCGCUGAGGACUCUACGGGGACUUGCAAGGUUCAGUGCCGGGGUGUGGGGUGUCCAUUCGCCUCGGUACUGCCCAAGGCCAGCCUCCUGUAAACCCGUCUUGCUGCCCCUUCUCGUCCCCCCCACCAUCCCUCACCGCUGCGUACCACUCGGUGGUUCUCCACCUCCAUAAUUCUGUCAUUUGAAGAUUAUGAGCACCCUCUAGCUCACGGGGUCACUUAUACUGUUCCAAGAACAUCUCUCUCAGGCUUUUCUGGGCCACAGGAGGCCACUGACCAUCAGAACAUUUACCUGAUGCAGACUUUGCCUCAGUGUCUGCUGGGCGCCCUCGCUGACAAUAGCCUCGAAGGUCUUGCCAGGCUCCCCCACCCGCCUUACACGAGUGCACAGGAGGAAGUGGCACUGGAAGGGGCUGGGGGGCCAGGCGUGCACCGCCAGGCAGUUGCUUGGCAAAGGGGACACCAGCCUGGGGCACCGCAGCCCUGAUACUGGGGAGAAGACCUCCCUGAAUGAGGGAGGAGGCAGGUGACACUUGUACAGCAAGGGCU